UGGUUUGAUAAAGAGAUAAAUUUGGCCACACGCGUCCUGAUCAGUCUUUUUACACAUAGCAGGGAAGAGUAACAUCUAAAAUUAGUCCAUCGCAAAUGGUCACAUUUACUUUGGUUUAUAACUAUAAUUGCAGGGCUAUAGAUAGGCUAAUUGGUUUCGUGGAAAUAAUUAAUUGUGGUGGCAAUGGCUAAAAUUAUAAGUUUAACCACUGUUUGUCAGCUAGCAUUAGCUGCUAACAUACCAUGAGGUACAGGGAUUUAUACCGGAUAACGUUAUCUGCUUUUUUUUUCUUUUGGUGACAAUUUGGUAUUUGGAUCGAUUAUGUAGGCUGUGCAUGUAUCAGUUGAUUCUUGCGGUCCUAUCACGAUCACAAGUUGUAACUGGAAACAAUGAUCACAAGUUGUAACUUGAAACAAUGAUCACAAGUUGUAACUGGAAACAAUGGUAUGGGGUAAUAUACGUGUGGGACGGUCAUGACUCAUGCACUGUACCAUUUGGCAUUGCCUGUCUAAACCUUGAAUGAUCAGUACUCAGAUGUAUUGUGUGCUGUAAUGUUUGUACAAAGUAAAAUAAAUGGAAAUCGAAACUGUA